CUCUUACUCCCUCCGUUCGGAAUUACUCAUCUAAGAAAUGAAUGUAUCCAGAUGUAUUUUAGUUGUAGAUACAUCCAUUUUUGUGACAAGUAAUUCCGAACGGAGGGAGUACAUC
rnacentral:pre_miRNA from 1 species